GUCUACUGCCAUGCCACCCUGAUCGCACUCCAUCUCGUCUGAUCUCGGAAGCUAAGCCGGGUCGGGCCUGGUUAGUACUUGGAUGGGAGAAUGUCAGCAACUAGAGUCGUGUGCA
rnacentral:rRNA from 1 species